UGGUUAAACCAUGCAAGCUCAGUGCUCGGAACUUCCGUUGUCUUAUCUUGAACAUCACGUACUGUUCCAGCCCCAGCCAGCCACCCAGGAAGGAAGCGCUCUGUUCCCAUUAGACAGAGGGCCUGGCCGGAGACAUGGCCACGCUGUCGAAAAGCUCUAACUGUUUUCCAUCCAAGAAAGUCAUGACAAGAUGAACCAGGAACACCCGUAUUUAUUUCACGCGCCCAUUUAUUUCUGGGAACAGAAUCGACUGUAAAAACACGAGCAACCAAAAAAAUGAAGUAGGUGACGUCACACACUCCAUUCUACGAAAUUCGAAAAUACUACACUCAGAAUGUGAAAUUUCCAACCAGCACUGGGACCCUUAGCAGGGGAGACUGGAAGCAGGUCUGAAUAAUGCAUUCAAGAUAAUUUCAAAAAAUCACCCUUUAACGAGUACCAUAUUCCCUCCAAUUUUCCCUUAUAUAUGAUUCACCAUUUUGCAAAUACUGAUGUAUAAAGAAUGCAUUGAAUGUGGCAAAAGUUGAAGAUAGCCCCUGUGGAUAAGACCUAAUGGACACCAUCCUGAAAUAAUACAUAUAGCUCAGCCUCCAGACAUGUGUCUUCAAUUUAAAAUAAUUCAGCAAUCAUGUUCAACCAGAACCUGAUUACACAAAAUGGGACUUUUUAACUCCCAGACUUGGAUCAAAUUUUGAGGCCACAAAAAAGGGGGGGGUGGAGAUAAUAUGUGCCAUGUUUAUAUA